rnacentral:rRNA from 1 species
UACAGAGGUCCCAAGCGUUGUUCGGAUUCACUGGGCGUAAAGGGUGCGUAGGCGGCCCGAUAAGUCUGCUGUGAAAGUCCAGGGCUCAACCCUGGAAUGCCGGUGGAUACUGUCGGGCUAGAGUUCGGAAGAGGCAAGUGGAAUUCCUGGUGUAGCGGUGGAAUGCGCAGAUAUCAGGAGGAACACCUAUAGCGAAGGCAGCUUGCUGGGACGACACUGACGCUGAGGCGCGAAAGCGUGGGGAGCGAACAGGA